ACAGACUGGCCACACACAGUGAAGGGGACACACUCUCCAGCUAAAGUGGCUUGAACAUGAUUUGAUCGUUUCCUAGAAAGCUCCAUUUUCCCGGCGGUUUAAAUUCGAGGAGAGCCGGCACAUUAUUUGGGGGAAAAUCACUCCCACCUCCCAGAGAACAGACAGACCCCUUUACAGUUCGUCCGGGAGAGCUCAGCAAGGAGGGAGUCUGGGCCCUGACCAGCGGGUUUCAGAGAGCCCCGACUUGUCUGCAGGGAAGCCCCAAACUAGCCUUGGAGUGCACUUGUCCUGGGCUGCCCGCCUUUAGUCAGCGGAAUAAAUCAGCCCUGGAAAAAGCUUGCCAUUAGCGGGCUCCGGGCUAGUCAGAAGUUCCCCCAACGUUUGGAAAUGGGGGCAGGUAAUGAGGCUGGCUUUGUGACUGCAGUCAUGUAGAUAGAAUCAGUCUCCCUCUGCCGCCAUCACCAGCCCCACGGAAGGAAGCUUCAAAUACCAGCUGGACCCUGCUUUGAGGGAGAAGAUAUGCAUUCCUCCUCUAUCCUUUUUACGGCCAACUAAUUCCUCCAUUACAUCAGCUCUUGAGCCGGAAAGCCAAGAUGAAGUUCUUGGCCGUCUGGACAGUUGAAAGAUGAAGCCCUCCUGCUACUCUUCAACCAGACAGCAGUGCAACAAGAAAGGAGAGGAGAUUUCUUCAUUUCUAUCUACUCUUUUAACAAAAAUUGGCGAUCUGCAAGAGAAGCACAAGAACAUCAGUCUAUGUUUGUCCAGGCAAGCCUGAGAGGGGAGUCCUUGCUCCUUUAUUCCUGGAUGCUUUCUUCUAUCUUUCUAUUUUGUUUACUGAGAAGCCAAAGACUGGGGUUUCUAAGAAUAAUCUUUCCCUGCAAAUUUGAAAGUUCCCAAGAAACCAAGAAUUCCUGAUUUCAAUUGUUUGGGCACAGCUUCCCAGGGGGAAGACAUUUCCUUGAUGAUGGGCCUACUGGAAAAGGAAAACACUCCUCGCCUCAUGGUUGCCCUUUAACUAGAAGAGUAAUGCCCUGCCUUGGCAGGGGGGAGAACCAAGAGUUCAGACCUUGCUAAUUCUGUGGUCUAAUAAUAAAAAACGAAGAGUUUUUAUUCAACACUCCUCCAAAGUGCAUUUACCUAUGGUGGAGAAAAGGCUCUCUGAUGGGUUUUUAGGGUACUUUACAUUUCUUUUUUCAGGGACUCCUGUGAGUCUUUUGUAUCUUGUGCAUAUUAUAUUGUGGAUGAAAUACAGGCUGUUCAAAUGCAUAAUAUGGUAUAUAAUAAGUGCCUAUGUGGGAGUGGGCACCCUGUUUCCCAGUUUUGUGGAAAACAAGACCAGAGCUUUAUUUUAAAGAUCUCCUUAGAGUUUAACUGGAGGAUGAGGGCAAUCAAAGAGAAGCUGAUCUCACUUGGGGUGGAUCCCUGGGAUCAAAUGAAGCUCACAUCAGUUCAGAAUCCUUGGGGGAGCUUGGAGCCUAGGUGACAUGGGCAAAUCCCCAUGAAAUCAGGAUGAGAUUGCAGCCUAAAAUAUUUAGCAGUCACUGUUACACUGGAGCAGAAUUAGACCUUAUUUUUUCCAAAGUGCUUUUUGCAAAGUAAUGACUUGGACCUUGGAAAUGCAGUGACGUGCAUGGAAAAAUUUAUUAGCCAUUAAGGCACUCAGCACAUGAGAGACUAUUUUCACUGAGAGAGGAUCAUUGGCCAGAACACCAGGAUUCUUACUAGCCAGAUGGUACUCCCACCUGAGCAUCAUUAAGGGAGAGUUAAAGGGGCCAGAGUCUCUACAAGGGGUUCUAAGCUCCACAUCACUUCUUGGACAUAUAGAAGCCCCAUGGAGUGGUGGAAUAUCAAGGGAGUAGGUUGCAAAUCUAGAGAAAUUUCAGGAAGCACGCAGAAGAGUGAUUUCAUUCACUGAUGAGGAGCUUCUUGUCACCUUGAUAAAAGCAGAUGGCCUCAGACCUGCCCCAAGACCACAAAAUGCAAAGUGCCACUAAAUCGACAGUCAUUUGGAGAUGAAUUCUAGACCCUUUGCUUUCUGCAUCAUCGAUACGUAAUCCUAGCUGAGUCAUUGCACCCUGUUCAACCUUUUAUGCCCUCCACACAAAGACUAUCAUGAUGACAGGGAGCAGGACUCGUUGCGUACUGUAAAUCAUUCUUAUUCAAUAAUGCUCCUGGUGAGUAAUAUGCUGCUAUUAUUCAAUAUCACUGACACUGACUGAGCAGAAAGGGGACCCACUUACUAGAGCAAGAUUAACUAGAUUGUUAUUAAUCACAUACUCUGUAAAAGUACAUUCCAAUAAUUGUUUUCAUUCUUUCUCAUAUUUAAAGAGAGUUUCUGCUUUGUCAUCCUUUCAGCUGUUGUUUUUAAUAGAAAAUCAACUCCCAGAGAGGAGAAACAAUUUAUCAGAAAUGAUAUAAUCCUGAAAUUUCCUGUCUAUUCACUGAGCCACACUUCCACAUGCUAGGCUGUGCCAAGGUUGAAGUCUGGGCACUAGAGGGGAUCUUACUAAAUCCUUUGGGACUCAAAUCCUGAUUCACUGACUAAACAAAGCAACAUAAACUGUGUGUGUUGUGUUUUUGUUUUUUUCCUAAGCUGGGGAUGUAUUGAAGACCAUAGGGAAUCCUAGAGAACCAUAGGAAAGAGUCUAAUUAUAGGUUCAAGGGGGGAAGUAGGUUAAAGACAGGAAAGCCUUAUAAAUAGAGAUAACUGGCAUCUGAGAAGAGAGAAAUAAUAAUAACUGGUAGAAGAUAUGAGGGAACUGAUUAUAGGUAUAAAAAUGUAUUUUAUUUCAGUAUUACUGUAGGAAGUACUGGAGAAAGAAUAUUUCUCAGCUAACUCCUGAGAUGAUACUCACUCAGUUGUUGGCCCAGCAAGUGAGUUUGUCAUGUUGGUUUUUUUUCCUCUAAAUCGAUUCCCCUUCUCCCCUCAUCCAUUUUGUUAUACGUCUCCCAGUUUUCCUCCAAUUCAAUUCCAUUAAACUUAUUUUAUUCAAUUCCAUUUUUAUUUUAUAUUUAUAUUUAUUUUUUCAAUUCCAUUAAACUCAAUUUAUUGCAUGCCUUCUGCAUAUAGAACUCUAUGCGAGGCGAGAUAAUAGGGUUUAAUAAAAUUCAGUGUUUGCUUCAUAUAACCUUGUCCUCCUGGAGCUUACAGCCACUCGUUGUUAUGAAACUUAUGGAAAUGCUUCUUCAUUUCAAAAAUCUUUUUCUCCAGGUUGUCUUCCCUUUGUUCGUGUAGCUCACAGCCCCUUCAUAUUGUAGAAUAUAUUCUUCAUGGACAAAAGGGAAUUCACCACCUGCUGUCCAAGCGUGUAGAAAUGAGAUUCCCCUAACUUACCGAGACUAGACUCUGGAUAACAGACACACUGGCCACCAUUGUCCAAGACCCAGGAGCCUUUCCAGUUUGGCAGGGCCUGCCAAAAUGGGCUCUUAGCUUCAGUCUCUUUUAGAAAGUCCAGGUUAUGAGCUUAUCACAAUGAGGCUAUCUUUCCUAAUAUCUGGUUAGGCGUGGUUCAGCCCCAUUCCCCUUGGGGCCAUGAGCCCAGGACAUUUCCGCACCUAAGUGGUUAAAACAGACAAGCAAAACAAGACACUGGAUCAUGCACUGUGCCAAAUGCCUAGCACGUCUAUUUUGGAAGUCAGCAUUUCCACAGUAAGUUGUUGAGAUAAUGCAUUAUGCCUCAGUCAUUUUAAUAGGAAUUCCCUGUAGUCCUGGUCCCUUUGCAGCUUGAAAUCUCACUGCAAACAAAUGCUAGAUUCUCAUCUAACAGAUUUCACUUCACCUAAACAGAUUUGCUUUCUUUUUCCUUAUCACAAGAACCCAAGGGUAAGAAAUGCUAUUUGGGAAGGAUGCCUAGUUUUUCUAAUUGACAUAAGGUUAUUCAAUGCAAUUCAACACAUGUUGAGUUCCUAUUAUUAUGUCCCUUUAAAAAAAUGUUUCUUGUUAGCUAGAGAAUCAUCAGGAAACAUAAACAUUUCCCUACUGAAAGGCCAUCUGAAACCACGAACCCAUUACAUCCAGCUUGUUAUUUUUAAAAAAACGUUAAAUUUAACAUGGUGUUACCAAUGUUAUAUUUGUCUGCUAAUAAUAUCUUUUUGCACUAUUCAGUGGAUUGUUUAAAUGUCAUUAAUACUCUUUCUUUUCUUUUGUAUCAUUCUCAUCAUCAUCCCUUAAUUCUCCCUUUAAUUGUCCUACCUGAAACAAACAAACAAACAAAAAUCUCCUUUGCAACUCACAAGACAAGGAAAAUAUACAUAUUAUAUUGGCAAAGUCUGAAAAUACAUGUAACAUUCCAUGCCCCUCUACAACAAAGAGGAGGGGAGGGAGUCAUGGCUCCUUAUCUGUCUUUUGGAGUUGUGAUUACCUUGAGCAAAGCUCUUAAGCCUUUCACCCUUAGGGGAGGAGACAUAGGAGAAAAUUCCCUUUAUAAGGAGAGAAAAAGCUGAGUCUCAGGACAGUCAGAAGAAUCCCUCUCUGGAGAAGGAUGGAUGGCUGAACUGGUGUCACUAGAAUCCUUGCUUGGACAGAUCUUGUGGUGAGUGAUUAAGGACUGACUGAUCUUUUCUCUUAAGGCUUAGGCCUGGGUUGGCGAGGACUGGCCAGGGCCGGCUUAUCCCUUUCUCAUUAUUUCCUUUUUCUCUUUCUCUCUUUCUUUAAUUCCUCAUUGUAUUAUUAAUUAAAUUCUCUAUAAAACCCAGUUGACUUGGGUAUAUUCAUAAUUGGGAAUAUUUCCCUGGUGACCACCUUAUAUAUUGAUUUAAAAACAAGACACUGUGGUAAAAACAUAUUUCCUGCGGUCACAAUUUACUCACCCACUCUUAUAUCUAUCACAAUUUAUAUCUUCCACUAUUUAAUCACUACAGUUUAUAACACCCAACCAUUUUAACUCUUACAGUUUAAGACUCCCACUCUUUUAAUUAUUACAGAAAUAAAAUUCUUCUGUCAUAUCUCUAA